rnacentral:piRNA from 1 species
UGAUAUCACAUACAGAAAAACAGAAUUUCA